AGAGGGGUGCGAGCGUUAAUCGGAAUUAUUGGGCGUAAAGGGCGUGUAGGCGGAUGGAUAAGUCAGCUGUGAAAGUCCCGGGGCUCAACCUGGGAAGGUCAGUUGAAACUGUUCAUCUAGAGUAGAGUAGGGGGGAGCGGAAUUUCCGGUGUAGCGGUGAAAUGCGUAGAUAUCGGAAAGAACACCAGUGGCGAAGGCGGCUCCCUGGCCUCAUACUGACGCUGAGGCGCGAAAGCGUGGGUAGCGAACAGGAUUAGAUACCCUGGUAGUCCACGCCGUAAACGAUGAGUACUAGUUGUUGGUGGGUUUAACCCAUCAGUAGCGAAGCUAACGCAUGAAGUACUCCGCCUGGGGAAUACGGCCGCAGGGCUAA
rnacentral:rRNA from 1 species